UAAUGAUUAUCAUAUGGUCCCAGGAAAAGUAUGAUGUGAUUGUAGGAGAUGGAAUAUUAAGGGAAAUGAUAAAAAGAGCACAAUCUUCUCAUUCCAUAACAAAUGUAGAGAAAA